UACGUAGGGGGCAAGCGUUGUGCGGAAUCAUUGGGCGUAAAGCGCGUGUAGGCGGUUCGGUAAGUCUGCUGUGAAAGUCCAGGGCUCAACCCUGGGAUGCCGGUGGAUACUGUCGGACUAGAGUACGGAAGAGGCGAGUGGAAUUCCCGGUGUAGCGGUGAAAUGCGCAGAUAUCGGGAGGAACACCAAUUGCGAAGGCAGCUCGCUGGGACGUUACUGACGCUGAGACGCGAAAGCGUGGGGAGCAAACAGG
rnacentral:rRNA from 1 species